GGGAUUCAACCCACAACCUUGAUGUAUCAGGACGUUGCUCUAACCAACUGAACUACCCGGCCAGGGCACUAUUCGGACUCUUUGCCGUAGAUUUAUCUCACUUGUUCUAGAACUUUAUACAAAUGUCAUCACACAGAACAUUCUCUUGUAUCUGGUUUAUUUUGUUCAACAUUGUAUUCAUAAAUUCCUGAGGUGUUUGAAAACUCUCCAUCCAGAAAGACACAUUCAACAUUCAGUCUUUCAUUAAUUUCUUUCAUUAUAGAGCCACUCAUUCAACAAAUAUUUCUUGAGCCCCUAUUGUAUGAGGAGAGCUGGCCUAACAGUCACCCGUGGCAAAGACUGAUGAACUGUGAGUCCCCCAGGAUGUUAUCUGACCCCAAAAUAUUUGGCAACAACUCUCUUCUGAACUCCCCUUGCAUCACAUAGAAUCCCUGGUACACAGAGGCCACACAGCCCGGUGGUAAGGAGCUCAGGCUCUGGCAUCCAUGGAUGGGCACUUAGUAGAUGCUUAAUAAACAGUGACUGUGACUAUUUUGUUGGCAUGGGAGCAUUGUAAAGAGCAAAGCCCUCUUUUUUAAUCCUUCACUGGCCCUAUAAGGUAGGCACCACUACAAUCUAUGUUUUACUAAUGAGGGAAGGAUGCUCAGAGAGGUAAGGUAACUCUCCAGAGGUUGCACAGCUGAUGAGUGGCUGAGGCGGGAUUCAAACCUAGUCCUAUUGAGUUUGAGCUUUCAUCUCUGCUCUGCGGAAUCAGCUCACUCCUCCUCGCCUUUCUUUAAGCCUUGACCCACUCAAGGGAGAGCCCAGAAUCGCCAUGGACCAAGGCUGUGCAUUUUGCUCUGCCAUUUCUUAGUUGUCUUUCUUCCACUUUGGGGCCCAACCCAAGAUGUUUUCCUGGCUUUGGAUCUUGUCUGUUUCAGCUUAAAAUCAUGUUGGAGGGGGUGGGAAAGGCAUGACUCGCCAGCAGCUCCUCCCCAUCCCCAUCCAAUGCCUUGGGCCUGGGUUCUAGAUAGUGUCACUACAAUUUGUCCCCCUUCAUCCUGCUCCUUGGGGACUGUCCACCUCGGGGCCCUCCUGGGACCUACACUCCAAACUUCUUUCAAGUGGCCCCAAACAGCAGCUUUUUCCUAAAUGAUGGGAAUGAGAUUACACAUGUGGGUCAGUUGUUACCAACGCCCUGACUCACCCAGCUCAUUCCUGUGAAUGAAUGAGCCUUUUAUUUUAACUGCUGGCUUUUAAAGGACCCAUACAUCUGUUUUUCUGACCACGUAAAAUCUAUUAGAGAGGGGGAAAAUGUGGUUCAAAGAAAUAGUUAAGUUUUCUCCAUGGGAGAGAAUUUUCCAGGGAAGAAAAUAUGUUGACCUUAUGAUACAGUUGAGUGGCUUUCAAAAAAUAUUUUUUUCAGCACAUGAACCCUUUUACAGAGGCUACUUAAGCUGAAGCUCAGCGUACAAACGUUCUAAGAUUCGGUGUGACUGAGGACCAUUCAAUCUGAAGUGGCAAACUGUUGGAAAUAUAGACUUUUUGAAAAAAGAAAAA